UAUAUAGAUAACGUGCCUCUUAGUCUGGGAUAGCCAUUGGAAACGAUGAUUAAUACUGGAUACUCCUUCUAACUCUAAUGUUAGUCGGGAAAGUUUUUCGCUAAGAGAUCGGUCUAUAUCCCAUCAGUUAGUUGGUAAGGUAACGGCUUACCAAGGCAAUGACGGGUAGCGGGUUUGAGAGGAUGAUCCGCCACACUGGUACUGAGACACGGACCAGACUCCUACGGGAGCAGCAGUGAGGAAUAUUGCACAAUGGGGGAAACCCUGAUGCAGCAACGCCGCGUGGAGGAUGACGCAUUUCGGUGUGUAAACUCCUUUUAUAUGUCAAGAAAAUGACGGUAGCAUAUGAAUAAGCACCGGGCUAACUCCGUGCCAGCUGCUGCGG
rnacentral:rRNA from 1 species